UACGUAGGGGCUAGCGUUAUCCGGAUUUACUGGGCGUAAAGAGCGCGCAGGUGGUUGAUUAAGUCUGAUGUGAAAGCCCACGGCUUAACCGUGGAGGGUCAUUGGAAACUGGUCGACUUGAGUGCAGAAGAGGGAAGUGGAAUUCCAUGUGUAGCGGUGAAAUGCGUAGAGAUAUGGAGGAACACCAGUGGCGAAGGCGGCUUCCUGGUCUGUAACUGACACUGAGGCGCGAAAGCGUGGGGAGCAAACAGGAUUAGAUACCCCUGUA
rnacentral:rRNA from 1 species